rnacentral:lncRNA from 1 species
UUUCAUGCUAAAAGAUGAACACAAUGGCACUCAACCUUUGCACACAUUUGCUGCUCCAAGCCUUUGUCCAUUCCAAUCCCUCUUUCCUUGAACGUCUUCACAUAGCUAACCUCUUCUCAUCCUUAAAGUCUCACCUUAGGCAUCCAUUCCCUCCAGAAGGUAUCCCUUCCACUGGCUCUCUUGGUACCUUUCAGCCAUGACACUGACUUGACCACACUGGAAUUCAGUUUCCAGUCUGUCACCUUCACUUCAACCUAGAAGACGCCCGUGCCCUCAGUGAGUACUCAGUAAGGUCUAGAUGUCCGCCCAAAGCCUCAUGUGGUCAUAGGCAGCUGAAUCAAGACUGUGUGAUGCUGGGAUUGAGGGUGGGUGAUUACUAAAUCAGUCCACUGAUUGGUUUGGCACCACCCUAAUCCCAGUACCUGGAUACAAUAUGAGGGACAGAAAGAGGCUUGACUUCUCCCUUGUUGCUUCUGCUACUGUGUGAGCACCAUGAACUGCCAUCCUCUGCCAUACCACCCUGCCUUGGAGCCAGGACUGAAACCUCUACAAACUGGGACCUAAAUAAACCUUUCCCUCUGUAAUUUGGGGGGUAUUUUGUCUCAACAACAAGAGAAAAGACUUUAUUUUUGCAUGAGAAAUGAGGUAGGGGUCUACCAUGGUUUGGAUAUCAUUCGUCCCCACCAAAACUUGUGUUGAAGUUUGGUUCCUGUGUGGCAGUGUCAGGAGCCCAAUUGCCUUUCCAUUUCUGCCCUGAGUUGAGGCGUCUGGAGGCUCUCUCCACUUGCUGCCACCAGAUCUUGGACUUCCCAGCCUCCAGAAGCGUGAACUAAAAUAAACCUCUUUUCUUUAUAAA